rnacentral:rRNA from 1 species
GUCGAGAAUCUUUCACAAUGGGGGCAACCCUGAUGGAGCGACGCCGCGUGGAGGAUAAGGUCUUCGGAUUGUAAACUCCUGUCAUGCGGGAACAAGGCCGGCGGGCGAACAGCCUGACCGGAUUGAUGGUACCGCAAGAGGAAGAGACGGCUAACUCUGUGCCAGCAGCCGCGGUAAUACAGAGGUCUCAAGCGUUGUUCGGAAUCACUGGGCGUAAAGGGUGCGUAGGUGGCGUGGCAAGUCAGAUGUGAAAGCCCGGGGCUCAACCCCGGAACUGCAUCCGAUACUGCCAUGCUUGAGUACUGAAGGGGUGACUGGAAUUCUCGGUGUAGCAGUGAAAUGCGUGGAUAUCGAGAGGAACACCAAAGGCGAAGGCAGGUCACUGGGCAGUUACUGACACUGAGGCACGAAGGCCAGGGUAGCGAACGGGAUUAGAAACCCCUGUAGUCC